rnacentral:rRNA from 1 species
CGGGUAGACAGGGAGACAGGUGGUGCAUGGUUGUCGUCAGCUCGUGUCGUGAGAUGUUGGGUUAAGUCCCGCAACGAGCGCAACCCUUACGGUUAGUUGCCAGCGGUUAAAGCCGGGCACUCUAGCUGAACUGCCGUUGACAAAACGGAGGAAGGUGGGGAUGACGUCAAAUCAUCAUGCCCUUUAUAUCCUGGGGCUACACACGUGCUACAAUGGCCUGUACAGAGGGCAGCGAAGGGGCAACCUGGGAGCGAAUCCCAAAAAGCAGGUCUCAGUUCGGAUUGCAGGCUGCAACUCGCCUGCAUGAAGUCGGAAUCGCUAGUAAUCGCAGGUCAGCAUACUGCGGUGAGUACGUUCCCGGGCCUU